AUCUGCAAGAAGAUGAAUCCACUGUGGUUCUUCCUCUUCCUGGUGUCAGCUCCCAGAGGUGCCCUGUCCCAGGUGCAGCUGCAGGAGUCGGGACCCAGCCUGGUGAAGCCCUCACAGACCCUCUCCCUCACCUGCACUGUCUCUGGAUUCUCAUUAAGCAGCUAUGCUGUAUCCUGGGUCCGGCAGGCUCCAGGAAAGGGGCUGGAGUGGGUUGGGGGGAUAUAUGGUGGUGGUGGAAGCGCAUAUUAUAACCCAGCUCUUAAGUCCCGGCUCAGCAUCACCAGGGACACCUCCAAGAGCCAAGUCUACUUAUCGCUGAGCAGCCUGACAACUGAGGACACAGCCGUGUAUUACUGUGCGAAAGACACAAUCCUCUCUUUAACCGCUCAGUCUCUGGAUUCUCCAUCACAAACGUUGCUGACUGCUGGGACUGGAUCCCUCAGCCCCCAGAGAAAGGGCUGGGAAAUCGACAAAUAUAUUCCAAUUGGCGGCCACUGGCAUCCUUCCAGCAAGCGGAUGAGUGGCCUUUUGCUCCACAUCAUCCCCAAUCUUUGA